UGUUGGGACUUAAAAAAUCAAUGGCAGCAGAAAUCACUUCACAUAACUCAUCAAAAAAGUAAAAUCAGAGUACAGUACAGAGCUUAUAAAGAAAAGAUGAGAUCACUAACCACAUUGCUACCAUAACUCAGAAGAUACAGUAAAUACUGUAACACUACAACAAUUGUUUCAAGCUAAUCUUUAAUGGAUGACAUGCAGGAAAGAAAAAUAACAUCUAAAAAGGGACUUUAAAGUGAGCUUUGAAGAAAUGGAAAAUACUUUGCUUCUGUGCUGGAAGUUAUUGCCACCCAAAGUUUAUUACUGGCAAGAUUACUUAUUUCCUCUUACUUUACAGGAUAUUAAAUCAAAUUAACUCUCAGGUUUUAAUGAGCAAUGAACACCUAUAUCAAAGAGAAUCAAGUACAGAGGUAAAACACUGGGCGAAUAUCCAGGAACAAACACGAAACUUCAGCCCAAACCAUUUGCAGCCUUUGGCUGCUGGAUGUAACAAUGAUAGAGAAGUGUGGAUUUUUUUUCUUAUAAAAA